GCAAGUCAGAAUCAACCUCCAUCCACCUCCAUCUGUUAUGAGACCUAGAACGUGGUGCAGCUCCCAUGGGGAAUAUCAGUUGUGUCUCUACCAAGGAUGCAGAGAAAGACAAGAUUCAGGCUUGUUUCCGGGAAGAAACCCUGACAGAAAUUCAGAAGAAUUGGAGCUGCAUUCCGUUAGGACAUGAAUGCAUGAAAUGCUCAUCUCAGGACUUUCUAGAAGAAUGAGCUGGGACCCACUUUUCAAGUCCUGCUGGAACCAGAGACCGAGAUAUUUCCCAGGUGUCUGAAUGACUGCACUGGGGUACCUACCUCCUUUUUUGAUAGACUGUAUUCCCGU